rnacentral:rRNA from 1 species
CCUACGAGCGGCUGCAGUGGGGGAUAUUGCACAAUGGGGGAAACCCUGAUGCAGCGACGCCGCGUGAGUGAAGAAGUAUUUCGGUAUGUAAAGCUCUAUCAGCAGGGAAGAAAAUGACAGUACCUGACCAAGAAGCACCGGCUAACUACGUGCCAGCAGCGGCGGUAAUACGUAGGGGGCAAGCGUUAUCCGGAUUUACUGGGUGUAAAGGGGGCGUAGACGGUUAUGUAAGUCUGGAGUGAAAGCCCGGGGCCCAACCCCGGGACGGCUUUGGAAACUGUGUCACUGGAGUACAGGAGGGGCAGGCGGAAUUCCUGGUGUAGCGGUGAAAUGCGUAGAUAUCAGGAGGAACACCGGCGGCGAAGGCGGCCUGCUGGACUGAAACUGACGUUGAGGCUCGAAAGCGUGGGGAGCAAACAGGAUUAGAUACCCGGGUAGUC